CGUCGAUUUGGAGCGGAGCUGCCCAUCCUGCGCCUAUUGACGAGAUUAAAGCCGCCAUACCCUCCGCUACGCCGGGACGGCGGCUCUGGCGUGCUCCGAGCUCGACGGGUCUGGAAAUCUGAAAGGAGCUCGGAGCGCGGCAAGAACUGGACGGCAGCCUGGAUGUGUCAGCUUGGAAGGGGGACGGCAUCUUUUCCCCAGAAAAUGCUUACUUGCUUAGCAAUUGUUAGGCUGUUCCUACCAAAGGAGGCACGAUCCAGUCGAUCUAGUCGUUUACUCGGGAAGCCAGAAGCCUUGAGUGUGAAUCAAAGGGCGGUUUGGCUUUUACAGAACCUGCUGACCAUGAAUUUUCCUCGCAGGAAAUGAAAAAAGCAAUCUCAGCCAGAAUCUGUCCAUCAUCUGAUCUCCAUCCAGUUACUGGGUCGGCCUGAAGGUAGUUUGAUUCAUACCACUUGGCCUUGAUUAAGGCAACCAACUCUUUGACAAGAAACCAACUUCCUUUGUUCCAGUCUGGUUUUUAAAAGAAGUCUCUUUGUUACCGUA